rnacentral:lncRNA from 1 species
CUCAUCUCUCAGAAUCACUUAUUCACAAUCGCUUCUUCACUUCUUCACAAUCUGUUUCAUCACCAUCAACACCGAAUCCCUAACUCGAUCUCGUUCAAAAUCUCCUUCGUCACCAACGCCGUUCAUCACCAUCUUCGAUUCAUCACCAAAUCGCAUUCUCUGAUUCAUCACCAACGCCGUUCAUCACCAUCGUCGAUGCAUCCAAUUUCUUCAUCUUUCGAAUCUGGAAUUCACCAUUGCACCAUCGCCGAUUCAUUCCUGAUUCACUGAUCUCACAUCAAAAGCGUUCUCCAUUUGGUAACCGACGCCGCAUUUUUCUGAUCUAUUAUUGAUUCGAUCUAUUAUUGAUUCGAGGUAUCUAAAACUAUGCUUAACUUCUCUUUUAUGAUUGAUUAACUCAAUAUGUUGUUCUGAAUAUUGCAAUAUUAUAUAUGAGUGAUUGAUUAUGAAGUAGGAUUUAGGUGUUUCAGCUUAUAUGUGUUUGAUUUUGGUGUUUUUGAUUUUACAAUUACUCCAACCAUCGAUAAGAUGAGAGCAGUGGAAUUGUUCUAGGUAAUUGUAUGUUGAGAAUAAUCUGAUUUAUUGAAAAAAAUGAGAAGGAGAAAGUACUCUGAUUUGCUAAUAUGAGAACUUCCUUAGUGCUCAUUGAACCAUAUUACUUUGCAGCCGAACUCCAUAUUACUAACGCUCCCUUCCCCUAAGAAUCGGAGGGUUAAAAAAAAAAAACUUAUUUGGACCAUGCAUGCUAUGGAUCAAAUUAACAUGCCAUUUAGACUUCAUAUAUUUGAGUUAUCAAAUUUUCUUUUGACUCAGUUUGAGUUAUCAAAUUAAUUUUGUUUAAGUCAAAGUAUAUGAAUAGGUAGGGUAGUUCUAAUCAUUAUUGUCAAGGGACCAGAUUCAAGAGAGACUUUGCAAUUCUAUUAAUAUAUGGCUGGUAGAGUUUUAAUUUUCAGUACUAAAUUUUGGAGAUUUAAUUACUUGUUAUGCAAAAUUUAGUAGUAACUUCAUAGUAGCUACUUUUAGUUCAAGUUUAAAUAAUUGUUGUACCGUGAAUGUAGGAACUGUUGUUUUUAGGGGUAAUCAGCUCGUCUUAUUCAUUGAUCAUAAGGCCUUUUAUAGGCAAAGUACAAUAGCUUGCAGUCCAAGCCAACCUGUUGGCUGUGCAAGCCUGCAGGCAAGGCAGGCCAGGCUUAGGCGCGCGCGCACAUCUGCAGGCNNNNNNNNNNNNNNNNNNNNNNNNNNNNNNNNNNNNNNNNNNNNNNNNNNNNNNNNNNNNNAAGGCAAGGCAGGCCAGGCUUAGGCGCGCGCGCACAUCUGCAGGCCAGCAGGCAUGGCUUGGCUUAGGCUGCAGCCAAUUUCUUAUCUUACAAGCUAACCAAUAUCCUAACAGGAACUAGACAACUAGUUUGGUGGUUUGGUUGCAACUGGGAU